rnacentral:misc_RNA from 1 species
UCCUCGUUUAAGCGAGGCAGUCUGUCCAGAGUGCUUCCUUCUCUCGAAGGAGUGGCAACAGGACACAAGGGUUGCGCUCGUUGCGGGACUUAACCCAACAUCUCACGACACGAGCUGACGACAGCCAUGCAGCACCUGUGCAAGCUUCCCUUGCGGGAUCGUCCCACUUUCAUGGUUCUACUACUUGCAUGUCAAGGCCAGGUAAGGUUCUUCGCGUUGCAUCGAAUUAAGCCACAUACUCCACCGCUUGUGCAGGCCCCCGUCAAUUUCUUUGAGUUUUAAUCUUGCGACCGUACUUCCCAGGCGGCGUAUUUAUCGCGUUAGCUACGCCACAAACGGGGUCGAUUCCGUUUACAGCAAAUACGCACCGUUUACAGCUAGGACUAC